rnacentral:lncRNA from 1 species
GUUUUAACAUCAUCUAAUGUGGAGAUUGGAGAAAGUGCUAAAUAAAUCCAAGGCUUAAAUGAGGCACGAGAAUAUGUAUUUGGUAUAAAUUGCAUGCGUGACGAUGCCAGAACUGCAAGCUCCGAUAUGUGUAUGGGAGCAAAGAACUUCACCACUCAAUCCUACCGGUGAUUACUUUGUAGCAAAGAGUAUUUGUCAAUUAGCAUGUGUACCGA